rfam:Pichia guilliermondii ATCC 6260 scaffold_1 genomic scaffold, whole genome shotgun sequence.
GGGCGUGUGGUCUAGUGGUAUGAUUCUCGCUUUGGGCUUGCUUGAGAAAGCUGAGCAUGUGAGAGGCCCUGGGUUCAAUUCCCAGCUCGCCCC